rnacentral:rRNA from 1 species
UCCCAGUUCAGAUCGCAGUCUGCAACUCGACUGCGUGAAGUCGGAAUCGCUAGUAAUCGCGGAUCAGCAUGCCGCGGUGAAUACGUUCCCGGGCCUUGUACGCACCGCCCGUCACACCAUGAGAGUCGGGAACACCCGAAGCCCGUAGCCUAACAGCAAUGAGGGCGCGGUCGAAGGUGGGUUCGAUAAUUGGGGUGAAGUCGUAACAAGGUAGC